rnacentral:lncRNA from 1 species
UCACUAUGAGCAGUAGUAUAAUCUCAGGUCAAAAGACCAUUCACAUAAGUAUAGCAUUGAGACGAUCACUGAUAAUUGAAUAGAAAUCCAAGUGAUUUCUCGUAUGAUCACACUUAGUACUAAUUGUUCACUAACAACUACCUGCACUCGUCGUCCAGCAUCUCUAUACUGUAGACUAAAGAUCCAUCUAUCCUGAAGAAAGCGAUCUGUUCGUCAGUCUAUCC